rnacentral:rRNA from 1 species
AACGAACGCUGGCGGCAGGCUUAACACAUGCAAGUCGAGCGCCCCGCAAGGGGAGCGGCAGACGGGUGAGUAACGCGUGGGAAUCUACCCAAUACUACGGAAUAGCUCCGGGAAACUGGAAUUAAUACCGUAUGUGCCCUACGGGGGAAAGAUUUAUCGGUAUUGGAUGAGCCCGCGUUGGAUUAGCUAGUUGGUGGGGUAAUGGCCUACCAAGGCGACGAUCCAUAGCUGGUCUGAGAGGAUGAUCAGCCACACUGGGACUGAGACACGGCCCAGACUCGUACGGGAGGCAGCAGUGGGAAAUAUUGGACAAUGGGCGAAAGCCUGGUCCAGCCAUGCCGCGUGAGUGAUGAAGGCCUUAGGGUUGUAAAGCUCUUUUAGUGGGGAAGAUAAUGACGGUACCCACAGAAAAAGCCCCGGCUAACUUCGUGCCAGCCGCCGCAGUAA